AAAUCUUCCAGUUUUGUUUCAGUAUCUCCUUUCGCAACUCGAUUGUGCAGUCUUUGGUCCUGUAAAAUGAAUUUGUUAGAUAUGAAGUAUCUACAACGGCAUGCACAGUCUAAGAUCACAAAAGGUUCCAGCAUUUGAACAACCUGCCCCAUUGUUGGUCUCUUCUCUGAAUCAAGUUCAACACACCUCAAUGCUACUAAAAGGGCUUUUUUCAGAGCCUUAGAAGUUGGCCUAAUCACUAUGGUUGGAUCUCCCACUUCUUCAGAACGACGGUUGGCAAUCAUCCAUUUAAGCCAGUCAACAAGAUGUACCUGCAAUCAUAACAAGAAAAUAUAUUAGUCAGAUGUGGAAGGUUCACGAAUUUGCUGAACUAACAUGUUUUUAUUUUUGCAUAAAAUACAUAGCAACUAUUAUUAUGUUCAACUCUUUCGCAAUUAUCAUAUCAAUACAGGCGAUAGAUAUUGACAAUCAAA